rnacentral:rRNA from 1 species
UACAGAGGUCUCAAGCGUUGUUCGGAUUCAUUGGGCGUAAAGGGUGCGUAGGCGGCGCGGUAAGUCGGGUGUGAAAUCUCGGGGCUUAACUCCGAAGCUGCAUUCGAUACUGCCGUGCUUGAGGACUGGAGAGGAGACUGGAAUUUACGGUGUAGCGGUGAAAUGCGUAGAUAUCGUAAGGAAGACCAGUGGCGAAGGCGGCUCUCUGGGACGGUACUGAGGCUGAGACGCGAAAGCGUGGGGAGCGAACAGG